rnacentral:rRNA from 1 species
AGUGAACGCUGGCGGCAGGCCUAACACAUGCAAGUCGAGCGGCAGCGCGGGGGCAACCCUGGCGGCGAGCGGCGGACGGGUGAGGAAUUCGUCGGAAUCUGCCUUUUUGUGGGGGAUAACGUAGGGAAACUUACGCUAAUACCGCAUACGUCCUAUGGGAGAAAGUGGGGCACCGCAAGGCCUCACGCAGAAAGAUGAGCCGACGACCGAUUAGCUAGUUGGUGGGGUAAAGGCCCACCAAGGCGACGAUCGGUAGCUGGUCUGAGAGGAUGAUCAGCCACACUGGGACUGAGACACGGCCCAGACUCCUACGGGAGGCAGCAGUGGGGAAUAUUGGACAAUGGGCGCAAGCCUGAUCCAGCCAUGCCGCGUGUGUGAAGAAGGCCUUCGGGUUGUAAAGCACUUUUGUCCGGAAAGAAAUCCCUGGAGCUAAUACCUUCGGGGGAUGACGGUACCGGAAGAAUAAGCACCGGCUAACUUCGUG